rnacentral:misc_RNA from 1 species
GUACAGAUUAAUGAUCAUGUGUUUAUUUACACUUCUAUUGCAAUUAUGUUCCACAAAGGAAAGAACAAUUCAUCUAUUAUUUCAAUAAUCUACAUUAUAAAAAGAAAAGCAUUCUUAUGAUAAUGCGAUACAUGUGCAUCUCUUUUCUGGUUUUGGGCAUUUUUUUUUCUCAAACUCUCACUGGGUAGUUUGUUAGAGAUUUAAGAGUGAUUUUGUCUUCUCUUCAUCCUGCAUCAAAAUUCAAAAUCACCACUAUUUAAUUGGUGUUUAGAGAAACUUAAAGGAAAGUGGUUUUGCUGGACAAGAUAUGGUUUCUAAUGAAAUGUUUGGAUUUUUGCUUUCAUUCCCCUAAUGGGUGCCUCACCAUGUAAGUUUGUUAUAUUCAACUC